rnacentral:rRNA from 1 species
AUUGAACGCUGGCGGCAUGCCUUACACAUGCAAGUCGAACGGCAGCACGGGAGCAAUCCUGGUGGCGAGUGGCGAACGGGUGAGUAAUGUAUCGGAACGUGCCCAGGCGUGGGGGAUAACGCAGCGAAAGCUGUGCUACUACCGCAUACGAUCUAUGGAUGAAAGCGGGGGAGCGCAAGACCUCGCGCGAUGUGAGCGGCCGAUAUGCGAGUAGGUAAUUGGUGGGGUAAAGGCCCACCAAGCCGACGAUCUGUAGCUGGUCUGAGAGGACGACCAGCCACACUGGGACUGAGACACGGCCCAGACUCCUACGGGAGGCAGCAGUGGGGAACUUUGGACAAUGGGCGCAAGCCUGAUCCAGCAAUGCCGCGUGCAGGAUGAAGGCCUUCGGGUUGUAAACUGCUUUUGUACGGAACGAAAAGACUCUUUCUAAUAAAGAGGGUCCAUGACGGUACCGUAAGAAUAAGCACCGGCUAACUACGUGCCAGCCGCCGCCGUAAUAC